rnacentral:rRNA from 1 species
AUUGAACGCUGGCGGCAGGCCUAACACAUGCAAGUCGAACGAGUGGCGGACGGGUGAGUAAUGUCUGGGAAACUGCCUGAUGGAGGGGGAUAACUACGGGAAACGGUAGCUAAUACCGCAUACCAUCGGAUGUGCCCAGGUGGGAUUAGGUAGUUGGUGGGGUAAAGGCUCACCAAGGCGACGAUCCCUAGCUGGUCUGAGAGGGUGACCAGCCACACUGGAACUGAGACACGGCCCAGACUCCUACGGGAGGCAGCAGUGGGGAAUAUUGCGCAAUGGGCGCAAGCCUGAUGCAGCCAUGCCGCGUGUAUGAAGAAGGCCUUCGGGUUGUAAAGUACUUUCGGUAGGGAGGCGUUACCUACAGAAGAAGCACCGGCUAACUCCGUGCCAGCAGCCGCGGUAAUAC